rnacentral:misc_RNA from 1 species
ACAAGCCAGCAGUAGCCUAGCCUGGCCUAGCCUGCCACUAAACGCAUAAACUUUAGCGCGGCAGUUGUGCAAGUCGUAAGCUACUGCGAGUCACUAGUAUGCUAUACGCUCUUAAAAGUGAGAGGUGUGAUAAUUGUGACCAGGAAGACUAACAAGCCAUUUGCUGAACAGGCUAGCGGCAGUAUUUUUAUAUGUAACCGUUGUCGUGGGGGUAAGACACCAGGCUGUCGGCGCGAACCCCACUCCGGCAGAUCAGACGUGCAAGAAGCCCCUGUGCAACAGCAACACUGUUGGGGCAAUUGCACUGCUACAAUGAGACGGGCAGAAGGGGCAUACAGCUAUUCACAGGCACUGAAAGGCGAACAACAUGUUCCACUUUGUGAUGACACUGAUGAGACAAACCUGCAUCUUCUUGCGAUUGAGCCCAGUUGUGACACAGCUGCACUUGAGGUCAAGAAGCAAGUGGAGCAGCAUCCACCAGUGCCAGACCUUUAUGACCUGCAGCAACAGCUAGGUGAGGCUGGUCCGUGUUCCGACACCGGUUCGACGUCUUCUGGCUCUGAAACCUGCUUGCAAAAGAGCAAGAUUAUAGGUGCAAGCAACUCCUCUGCAACAGCAAGACUAGAGGAGAAGGGUUGUGGACUACUUACGAGUACUUGCACUGCUGCAAUGAGACGGUCAGAAGGGACGUACAGCUAUUCAGAGGCACUGAAAGGUGAAAGAUGCGUUUCACUUCAUGGUGGCACUGAUGAGACAAACCUGCAUCCACUGGAUAUUGAGCCCAGAUGUGACACAACUGUGCGAGAGGUCAAGAAGCAAGUGGAGCAGCAUCCACCGGUGGCAGACUUUUUUGACCUGCAGCGGCAGCUAGAAAGGGUUGCACCUUUUUCUGACCCAACUUUCACAUCUAGCUCUGAGGCCUUCUCACAAAGGAGCAAGAGCAAAGCUCAGAUUGUGAAGAUAGUUCACAUGGUGAAAAAAAGAUUGCCAGAAUACGAGGAUUUUCUGGCAACUUCCUACCCUUUCUUCCUCGUGAAGGAGUAAGCUGAAAUCGGCGAGUCCUUCACAGCUCUUGCCUGACCUGCCUGCGCCAUCGUUAGCAUAGGCAGGAGAUCCACAAACACGUGGUUGACCUACGCAGAUCGCAGGGUGGCUUCUCGCAUAUGAAGUUGAAUGCCAUUGUCGCCCUUGUGCUCAGCCACAUGAGGAACAUUGCA